rnacentral:misc_RNA from 1 species
AAGUCGUAACAAGGUUUCCGUAGGUGAACCUGCGGAAGGAUCAUUAAAAAUGAAGCCGGGAAACCGGUCCUUCUCACCCUUGAUUAUCUCAAUUUGUUGCUUUGGUGGGCCGCGCAAGCACCGGCUUCGGCUGGAUCGUGCCCGCCAGAGGACCACAACUCUGUAUUAUAUGUCGUCUGAGUACUAUAAAAUAGUUAAAACUUUCAACAACGGAUCUCUUGGUUCUGGC